ACGCGGUGCCGUUUACGCCGCGCUGCCGUCUGCUACGAGGCCGCUCGUACCGACACGGAACGGCAAGAGACGAAAGGA
rnacentral:ncRNA from 1 species